CUCCUCCUCCUCCUCUCUCUCUCUCUCUCUAUAUAUAUAUAUAUAUAUUUCUGCCUCUGGCCGUGAUUGUUCGCCUUACUGCCGCCGUACGCCGCCCAACCAUGCCCCCAUCCACUGUCAGACUUCGGGGAGGUUACCUAUUCUAACACUUUAACCACCCCCACUACCUAACACGGCCAGACUGUCUGCCCCGCAAACUCCAAAUGAUGCAGGACCAUCUAAAGCUGCACCAGCAGCUAAGGAGGUCAUGUAGCAGGCUGCCACACCAACGGAGACUCCACCACCACCAAUAGUGCCCCCAUCAUCAGCACCAGUACAUCAGCAUCAACGACAUAAGGUCUGAUCAUCGCUUCCACGAGGUUAUCAAUGCGGUUGUGCGGGAGACUUUCCCCACCAGUGGCAAUGUCUAAGGCAAGUGACGCCAGAGCACCAAUAUAUCUGGUUCGAGAGCAUGAAGGUAACGUACAGUAUCAUAAUUUGGUAAUAUCCAAUAAUCUAAAUUGUUUAAUUAAUUUUACUAAUUUUUUGUUUAAUUUUUAUCAUUGUAAAUAACCUAUUGUUGGGACUGUGACGAUGAGUCCAUGUUCUUCGUCUUCCACAUUUGGGCCUAAAAGUACAUCUAGAAGAUGGUCGUGCCUGGUCAAGCCACUUAGCUGGCCAAUGAGGUUUGGCGCCAAGUCCAGGCAUACUAGGCCAACAAGGACUUCCAUCAUGAUUCCUCGAAGAAUAAAGCGAACCGGACAGUGAACCCCACAGCAUCCUCGACUGUGUAUCGCAGGGGAUCUUUCUCUAUUGGCCAGCACAAGAGGAAGAGGCAAAAUUCGGUCAGCAGCCUAAGCAAAUGGAGUUAUUUGAAAUAUACUACAAGAAAAAGGAGGACGAUGGCUGGAAUGGGUUGAGAGUGGUUGAGGUGGCGAGACGUUCCAAAAGCUGAUGGAUGAUCGUCAACAUAAGCCCACGAUAGAGGACCACUAUGCCCCAACCGAAUCGAAGGUUUCCAUAUCGAUGAUGGAGUAGUGGAUAUGGCUGGCUACAGUCGUGGGCAAGAACAAAGGCCAAGUGUUCAGCCUUGAUUCUAAGGCCCACGUUUCCAAUCAGACCUUUACAUCAUAAUUGCCACCCCCCCCGACACCGCCACCA